rnacentral:lncRNA from 1 species
UCCUGGAAGGGCGUGGAAUGAGGAUGAAGUCACAUAACAUGACGUACACAUCUGCAAAAAAUUUCCACACUGUUGGACAUCUUGGAAAUCUUUUUUUUUUCAUGAGUUCAGCUGAUAUUUAAGGAAAUCAGUUCAGGUCGACACUGGCAGUCUUGUUUCUUCUGCUGUAUGAGCCUGUAACAACACCAGUUCAGCUGGUUUUCAGAAAACAAGGGGUGGAAAACCUGUGCCGGUGCAGGGAGUCUGAAAGAGUGCUUAGAGUCACUGCUAUAAUCUCAAUUGAUAAAGAACCCAGUGUGGAGAGCAGACCAGGUUAAAACAGUCCUUCCACAACCAGCCCAAACAAACCUAUACUCUCAGCCCAGGAUACUGGGUCCUGAUCGGAGCUGUUCAGAGAACUCAUUCCAGGCACUACUGAUAACACAGACAGCAGUUAAGGACAAAGGUAAUCCCACUUGGGUUUAUACCAACCACUGCAAUUGGAUUUCACAACGACAGUAAUAACCCAUAGGGUUGAAAAUUUUCCACGUUGACGUU